rnacentral:rRNA from 1 species
UCCAUAGGUUAAUGAGGCGAACCGGGGGAACUGAAACAUCUAAGUACCCCGAGGAAAAGAAAUCAACCGAGAUUCCCCCAGUAGCGGCGAGCGAACGGGGAGGAGCCCAGAGCCUGAAUCAGCAUGUGUGUUAGUGGAAGCGUCUGGAAAGGCGCGCGAUACAGGGUGACAGCCCCGUACACAAAAGCGCAUGUGCUGUGAGCUCGAUGAGUAGGGCGGGACACGUGGUAUCCUGUCUGAAUAUGGGGGGACCAUCCUCCAAGGCUAAAUACUCCUGACUGACCGAUAGUGAACCAGUACCGUGAGGGAAAGGCGAAAAGAACCCCGGCGAGGGGAGUGAAAAAGAACCUGAAACCGUGUACGUACAAGCAGUGGGAGCCCCACCACUAAGCCAGUGGUG